UACGUAGGGGGCAAGCGUUGUCCGGAUUUAUUGGGCGUAAAGAGCGUGUAGGCGGCCAUGCAGGUCCGUUGUGAAAACUCGAGGCUCAACCUCGAGACGCCGGUGGAAACCGUAUGGCUAGAGUCCGGAAGAGGAGAGUGGAAUUCCUGGUGUAGCGGUGAAAUGCGCAGAUAUCAGGAAGAACACCCGUGGCGAAGGCGGCUCUCUGGGACGUGACUGACGCUGAGACGCGAAAGCGUGGGGAGCAAACAGG
rnacentral:rRNA from 1 species